CGUACAACUACGAUGGUGUGAGCACUAAACAGUCCUUUAAGCAGUACAAAAACAUAAUAAACAUAAUAAAACCAUUUUUGGAAUCCUAAAAACAGAUGCAUACACCCAAACGGAUUAUGUCACCGAUACCAGAACUGCCUUUCACACGUUAAAGCGUCGUUAUCACAAAAGAAACCAUGAUUUAAGGAGAAAAAUUAAAAGGACUCAGGAAAGCCAGCCGAACUCUGACUGGAAAUAACUGAUACUUUUUGUAAAAGCUUUAAAGUUUUUUAUAUUAGGCGCGCAAACAGUUCAUAUAUUUGCAAUGCUUAUCUCAACGAAAGGAGUAAAAAGCUAAACUGGUUUUUGGCUCUUUUUUCAAGUUCUGUUCUUUUCACUUUAAUUAGGUUAUUUUUGGUUUACAAAGCACCUCAAAACGCCAGCCUUUCAAACCGUAACGUUAUGGUCGACAUCCCCUUAAAAAAAAUGGAUCAAUGAUUUCACCACUCGAUAUGGCUCAGCCUGACUUUUAGAAUUAUAGUUAGUUAUUUAUUUGUUUUUUUGUUUUCCAUUUGUUGGUCAAAUUAGUUUCU